AGUUCCCAGAGUUCCGUGACAAAUCAUUUGUUAUCAAGACUUCCUGUUCGACCCAAGUCGCCAUAAUAUUUAUUCUGCAGAGAUGGCAAGCGAAGAAACGUCUCCCCGCACUCUGUAUGUGGGUAACCUUGACCCCAGUGUCACAGAGACCUUGAUCAUGGCCUUGUUUGGACAGAUAGGACCUAGGACCAUGUAAAAGCUGUAAAAUCAUACACGAGACCACCCCUGGAAUGAGGGAACCAAAUGAGGAGGCGAAAUAUGGGCCGAAUUAUGAGGUAAAGUAAAUGCACUUUUUUCCUGACACUAAAACCAGGGUUAUACGUCUUGUUCUAAUUCACUCAAAUUCCCUGAAAAACAAACGAGUCAUGUUAACUUAUUUUCAUUAAAAAGUGUAAUAAAAAUAGAGAGAAAGGGUGGUGUAUAGUAUUUCACACAGAAAAAUCUCUUUGUAUGACUAUUUUGUGAUCAAAUUUCAAAUUAAAGUGGAAGUGAGUAACAAUGUUUUUUGAAAUAUAACCAGAAGAUCAUGAUGAAAAAGAAAGAUGACUUGGCAUACUUAAAAUGAAAAGUACAUGUAUUAAUUAGGUUACUUGUAACAGUAUUCAGUGAGAUUUAUAUAUACGUAUAUAUGAACAAUUAAGUUUUCUGUAAGCUGUUCUUUUAUGCAUGACGAUAGCCAAAAAGUAUAGAAUGAUUUUAAAGCAACAUAGUAUAUAAGCUACAAUUUAUUUCUUAAAGAUUUAUGUUAUGUAUUCUUAAUAAAUAACUUUAUAAUGUAAAAUAACACAAGAAAUAUUACAACAAGCUGCUGUUUUGAGCUCCAGAUAAAUAGGAGGUUCAGGAACAGCAGAGGUUCUUCUGAAUCAGUCCCUUGUUCUCAAAACACUUCUCUAUUAUCUGUGUAGGAAAAGACCCUUUAUAUUAAUACAGACUUGCUGCUUUACCAUUCAUGUCAUUGAAUGCAAUAUAACACGGUUGUGUUGUUCUUAGAAACAAAAACAAACCACUGAACUGUUAAAAUAACAUUAAAAUGGUGCAUGUAUGUAAUGCACAUUCCAUUAUCAGCAAUGCUGGUAUAUUGUCAGUAGUUGCACUGUUGUGUAAUCUGUAAGGCAGUGCUCCUAUUUGGGAGCAGGUGCCCUGAGAUAGAGAACUGAGAGGACUUGAUUUGGCUUUUACAGCCGGGUGUUGCAGCGGAACCCAGGAACAAGGAAUCGCCAUGAUUUCCGAGGUUCCAGCUUAGUCUGUUCACAUGUGAGAUGUAUUUAUUUUACUAUUGUAUCAUAAUCUUAUUAACUGUGUGUAUUGUUCUGUAACCAGCGGGGGCAGAGACUUUGUACAGGUUAGACCUUUUUAUCACAUUUUUGUACCUUUUUUGACCCAAUUUCUCUCAGAAGUUGGUUGUAGGACCUCCGACUUGUUCUUCAACCAUUUGCUACAGCUGAAAUUGUCAGCUUCUUCUUGUUCCUCUUUAAAAUCAUUUCUGAAAAAAAUUGAAUGCCCCCUAUUGGAUUAAAAACAACCCUUCUGUCAGAUCUUUGUUCUGUCCCUAUGGGUGCUGUACAAGGGAGGUAAGCCAAUCUUUAUUAUUUUAUCUGAGGAAAAAACCUCAACUGGGGAAAAAGCAGGAAAAGAAAAAGUUGAUGGAAGGUACCAUUUUACUCUUCUUCUCUGUGUUAUAGCAUUAUUAACCUGUAGAAUUAUCUGAAUUUUCAAACGUGUAAUAGUGUUAAUCAUUCAUUUGAUUCUUAAGGAGAAUGACCUUUGACCUCUCUUUUAUAUACCUCCCUCAAUGAAGAGUUCCAGUUAUGGAGUCGGUAGAAGGACCGGUGGAUCCGUACUGCUUCGUGGAGUUCUACGACCACGCCUCGGCAGCAGCAGCCCUCGCCGCCAUGAAUAAAAGGAUGUGCCUGGGAAGGGUAAGUAAA